AGGAAGCUCAGAAUUUAAAUGUAGCAUGAAAAAGUGGAGCAGGUAAUAGUGCAUAUAAGCCUUUGGAAGCUGUAGCCGCUACUGUGGAAUACUAUGGACUUCCUGAUGUUAUGGCAUGAAAACAUGUUCAUGUAACAGUUUCAUACAUGAAUAUGAACUUACGUAUGUGAUAGAGCAAUCCUCCAACCCACUGCAUAUUUUGGUCAGUUAUUAUCAACAUGGAACUAAAGAGCAUAAAAUUAUCAUUAAAUAGUAUAGUAGUGAUAAAACAUGGACCCAAAUCCGUACCACAAAAAAAUAUAUAUAUUUAGGAGGUUAUAACGCACAAUUUCAGUAUCCUGCAUUAUUUUUAACCUGGUUGUGUGAUUUACCACAUAAAUUAAUCAACUACAAUUCAAUACAAGGUGCAGACCUCUACAACAUACCUGAACAACAAAAACAUUUUCAGAUGCUAAACGUUUUAUAGAGCUUGCAA
rnacentral:misc_RNA from 1 species